UAGCGCAUGGUCUAGGGGUAUGAUUUUCGCUUCGCAUCAUCCAAUGUGAUUUGUGAAAGGUCCGGGGUUCAAAUCCCCGUACGUCCA